rnacentral:rRNA from 1 species
CUUAGAAGCAGCCAUCAUUUAAAGAAAGCGUAAUAGCUCACUGGUCGAGUCGGCCUGCGCGGAAGAUGUAACGGGGCUAAACCAUGCACCGAAGCUGCGGCAGCGACACUAUGUGUUGUUGGGUAGGGGAGCGUUCUGUAAGCCUGUGAAGGUGUGCUGUGAGGCAUGCUGGAGGUAUCAGAAGUGCGAAUGCUGACAUAAGUAACGAUAAAGCGGGUGAAAAGCCCGCUCGCCGGAAGACCAAGGGUUCCUGUCCAACGUUAAUCGGGGCAGGGUGAGUCGACCCCUAAGGCGAGGCCGAAAGGCGUAGUCGAUGGGAAACAGGUUAAUAUUCCUGUACUUGGUGUUACUGCGAAGGGGGGACGGAGAAGGCUAUGUUGGCCGGGCGACGGUUGUCCCGGUUUAAGCGUGUAGGCUGAUUUUCCAGGCAAAUCCGGAAAAUCAAGGCUGAGGCGUGAUGACGAGGCACUACGGUGCUGAAGCAACAAAUGCCCUGCUUCCAGGAAAAGCCUCUAAGCAUCAGGUAACAUCAAAUCGUACCCCAAACCGACACAGGUGGUCAGGUAGAGAAUACCAAGGCGCUUGAGAGAACUCGGGUGAAGGAACUAGGCAAAAUGGUGCCGUAACUUCGGGAGAAGGCACGCUGAUAUGUAGGUGAAGCGACUUGCUCGUGGAGCUGAAAUCAGUCGAAGAUACCAGCUGGCUGCAACUGUUUAUUAAAAACACAGCACUGUGCAAACACGAAAGUGGACGUAUACGGUGUGACGCCUGCCCGGUGCCGGAAGGUUAAUUGAUGGGGUUAGCGGUAACGCGAAGCUCUUGAUCGAAGCCCCGGUAAACGGCGGCCGUAACUAUAACGGUCCUAAGGUAGCGAAAUUCCUUGUCGGGUAAGUUCCGACCUGCACGAAUGGCGUAAUGAUGGCCAGGCUGUCUCCACCCGAGACUCAGUGAAAUUGAACUCGCUGUGAAGAUGCAGUGUACCCGCGGCAAGACGGAAAGACCCCGUGAACCUUUACUAUAGCUUGACACUGAACAUUGAGCCUUGAUGUGUAGGAUAGGUGGGAGGCUUUGAAGUGUGGACGCCAGUCUGCAUGGAGCCGACCUUGAAAUACCACCCUUUAAUGUUUGAUGUUCUAACGUUGGCCCGUUAUCCGGGUUGCGGACAGUGUCUGGUGGGUAGUUUGACUGGGGCGGUCUCCUCCUAAAGAGUAACGGAGGAGCACGAAGGUUGGCUAAUCCUGGUCGGACAUCAGGAGGUUAGUGCAAUGGCAUAAGCCAGCUUGACUGCGAGCGUGACGGCGCGAGCAGGUGCGAAAGCAGGUCAUAGUGAUCCGGUGGUUCUGAAUGGAAGGGCCAUCGCUCAACGGAUAAAAGGUACUCCGGGGAUAACAGGCUGAUACCGCCCAAGAGUUCAUAUCGACGGCGGUGUUUGGCACCUCGAUGUCGGCUCAUCACAUCCUGGGGCUGAAGUAGGUCCCAAGGGUAUGGCUGUUCGCCAUUUAAAGUGGUACGCGAGCUGGGUUUAGAACGUCGUGAGACAGUUCGGUCCCUAUCUGCCGUGGGCGCUGGAGAACUGAGGGGGGCUGCUCCUAGUACGAGAGGACCGGAGUGGACGCAUCACUGGUGUUCGGGUUGUCAUGCCAAUGGCACUGCCCGGUAGCUAAAUGCGGAAGAGAUAAGUGCUGAAAGCAUCUAAGCACGAAACUUGCCCCG